rnacentral:tRNA from 1 species
CGGGACGUAGCGCAGAGGCAGUCGCAGCCACCUUGCCAAGGUGUGAACACGCCGGUUCGAAUCCGGCCGUCCAGG